rnacentral:tmRNA from 1 species
GGGGGCGAUUUGGCUUCGACGGGGACGGAGAAGCUAAGAUUGCGUGCCGAGGUCCCAGAGCCUCGUAAAAACUUUGGGAAACUUUCAAUCGCCAACAAUACAUACGCACUGGCUGCCUAAUUAGGCGGCCCGCUGGGUCCGGUGGAGCCUGCGCCGCCGGUUCUGGUGUCAUCUAUAGCAGGCUGGCCAACAGCUUUCGUUCAGGGGCUGAAGGCGAGACCUAAUGAACUGGCCUGCUGCGGAUCCUGUCAGUUGGAGCUGCAGCGGGCGAGAUUAAACAACUGACUACGCACGUAGUGAUCCAGUGGAACUGUUUUCGGACGCGGGUUCGAGUCCCGCCGCCUCCACCA